UGCUACUGGCGCCGUGCAGGUGAGGGCCAGGAGCGCCGCCACGUGCCCGCAAAGCACAGACACCCUGCAGCAAAGGGUUAUCUGGCCCAAGUGUCAGCAGUGCCGCAGGGGAGAACACCCGCCAUGCACACGUCUCCAGCAGGGCCGGGGGGCCCCCGGGCUGCCGUUAGCGCUGGGAACCGGGGGCACCGUAUCCACGUGAUGGAGAAGACUGUGGGCCAGCGGGUGACCCUGCUGGCGGGACCUGAGGCCAAGGGGGCUUGGGGGCAAACCUGGAAGCUGUCUGUGGUGGACGAGCUGGCACAGACGGGCGACCAGCACGUAGCCGUCCUCUGCCCAGUCCGCUCUCCACCUGGCGGCACACAUGGGACACACGGGGGCAGCGCUCGGGUGCCUGUGAGCCCGGGCCACCCUCUGAGGACCUGUGCCCCAGCUGUGCUGGGUCGUGACUGGGGACACAGGGGCGACCUCCCAGCCCGGUGCCCCACCCAGUGUCAGAGCUGCUCACCACAGCCUGGGGCCGUGGCAGGCUGAGACAGGGGCGCCUGGCCUUUUGCCUGCCGGGAGUCGCCCCCUUCCUGGCGGGGGCCUGGUCCGGCACCCUCCUCAUGCAGAAUGAACGCAGGAAGCAGGCCCUGGGUCUGCUGAGCGGGCUGGGCCGUGGAGCUGCCCCAGAGAUCAGACCAGGCCCCGCCCGGCGGAACCCGCAUUUAACCAGACCCGGGAGCACACACGCGUGGCCGUGGGAAGCCCGGCGCCUGGCUCCGCCCCCUCUGCCCCUCGUCAGGGGGAACCUGAGGCUGGAAGCGGGCACCCAGAGCACUUACAGCCCUCCUGUGUCUGCAACUUGACAGCUGCCCUGGACCUCGAGCCACUGCGUCCCUCUCCUGAAACGCCCAGGCCGCCUCUGCUGAGGGCCUCGGAGAAACGGCAGCCCCACCUUCCCUUCCGUGCCUGACGUCCCCACGAGCAGACGUACGCCAGGCAAGGGAAGGUGGCCAAAGGACAGGUUCUGUGUCUAAUUCUAUGUGUUUCUUUUACUGUAAGCAGCAGAAGCUGGCGAGGGUGUGUGUUGAGGUCAAGGGCAGGCAGUGUGGGUAGAGGCUAGGGUGGCUGUGAGGCUGAGCAAGGGACCUGGGCUCCCUCCCGCUAAGCUGAGCUAGCCAUGGCUCCAGCUCGCCCAUGGGUGGCACCCCGGGGAGUCAGCGGCAGGGGCCUGCCGUUGGCUGGGUGGUCACCGGUCCUCACAGCUUGGCGGACUCCCUGGUCGUGCCCUUGUCCCUGAAGGUGGUGGCGGCUUUGUGGUGGGUCUGCAGUGGCUCGUCUCCCCCUCUCCCCUCCUUCUACUUGCAGAGUAGUGGCUGUGCAGACUCUGGAACUGCACUUAGAAAGCUAUUAGCUUUUCUAAACGUCUUUGUCUUCGUUCAUGGCUGAGGAAUCAAUCUUCCACGUUUAGACACCUCAACUCUGAAUUUAUUUCCAACGAUAUCUGAAAAUACACACUAAAAAUUAAUUCACACUUUAAGGUCAUGAUUUUGGCCAAU